rnacentral:rRNA from 1 species
GACGAACCGAGCGAACGUUGUUCGGAAUCACUGGGCUUAAAGAGCGCGUAGGCGGCCCGGUAAGUCCGCUGUAAAAGUCCAGGGCUCAACCCUGGAAAGCCGGUGGAUACUGUCGGGCUCGAGUCCGGAAGAGGCGAGUGGAAUUCCUGGUGUAGCGGUGGAAUGCGCAGAUAUCAGGAGGAACACCAAUGGCGGAAGGCAGCUCGCUGGGACGGUACUGACGCUGAGGCGCGAAAGCGUGGGGAGCAAACAGG